AUCCUACGGGAGGCAGCAGUGGGGAAUAUUGCACAAUGGGGGAAACCCUGAUGCAGCGACGCCGCGUGAGUGAUGAAGUAUUUCGGUAUGUAAAGCUCUAUCAGCAGGGAAGAUAAUGACGGUACCUGACUAAGAAGCUCCGGCUAAAUACGUGCCAGCAGCCGCGGUAAUACGUAUGGAGCAAGCGUUAUCCGGAUUUAUUGGGUUUAAAGGGUGCGCAGGCGGGCGAUCAAGUCAGCGGUUAAAUGUCCGGGCUCAACCCCGGCCGGCCGUUGAAAC
rnacentral:rRNA from 1 species